AGCUGAUCUGCUGGACAAGUGGGGAGCCUUCCGUGCCAGGCUGUUUCGAGAGUCCUGUGUCUUCCAUCGGGGAAACUACGUAAAGGACCUGAGCAGGCUGGGCCGAGACCUGCGGCGGGUGCUAAUCUUAGACAACUCACCCGCCUCAUACGUCUUCCAUCCAGACAAUGCCGUGAGUACACAAGAGACCCAGCGGCUGAGACACGACCAGAGCACAUGUGGUGGCCUCCCCCGCCCUACGUGGGGUGAUAGCAGGUGCUGGAAUGUCCUAUUACCUGUGUCUGCUCAUAUAUUCCACUCUACUUAUGUAUGAAGGGUCCUCAACUCUGGCUGGAGUCCCCAUCUGACAGUCUUCAAAGCUGUCCUAUUAAUGGGACAGAAUGAAUGUAGUAAGUCCCAGUUAGGGUCCCACUGAAAGGAGCACAGAAAGCUUAAGUGUUCUGUGAACUGUUUGCUUGCUGGCAUCUACAAAUGAAUUUCACCAUAAGCUGUCCCC
rnacentral:lncRNA from 1 species